AUAAACUAAAGUCGAACACCCCCUAGGCUGUUAUACGCUUCUGGGGGAACGAAGCCCCACUACGAAGGUGGCUUUAAUACACCUGAACCCACGACAACUAAGAUACAAACUGGGAUUAGAUACCCCACUAUGCUUAGCCAUAAACUUUGAUGUUAAUUUACACCUAAUAUCCGCCAGGGAACUACAAGCGUUAGCUUAAAACCCAAAGGACUUGGCGGUGCCUCACACCCACCUAGAGGAGCCUGUUCUUGAAUCGAUAAUCCCCGUUCAACCUCACCACCCCUUGUUAGACCCGCCUAUAUACCGCCGUCGUCAGCUCACCCUGUGAAGGACUUAAAGUGAGCAAAAUGGGCAAAACCCAGAACGUCAGGUCAAGGUGCAGCGUAUGAGGUGGGAAGUAAUGGGCUACAUUACCUACGAUAGGUUACUACGGAUGGAGCCGUGAAACUGGCUCCUGAAGGUGGAUUUAGCAGUAAGGGGGAAAUAGAGAGUUCUCCUGAAGCCGGCUCUGAGGCGCGCACAUACCGCCCGUCACUCUCUCCAAGUUCACUAAAUUUGGUUCUUAACAAGAUCACCGAACAAAGGGGAGGCAAGUCGUAA
rnacentral:rRNA from 1 species